GAUGAACGCUGGCGGCGUGCUUAACACAUGCAAGUCGAACGGAAAGGCUCCUGCUUGCAGGGGUACUCGAGUGGCGAACGGGUGAGUAACACGUGGGUGAUCUGCCCUGCACUUCGGGAUAAGCCUGGGAAACUGGGUCUAAUACCGGAUAGGACGAUGGUUUGGAUGCCAUUGUGGAAAGUUUUUCGGUGUGGGAUGAGCUCGCGGCCUAUCAGCUUGUUGGUGGGGUAAUGGCCUACCAAGGCGUCGACGGGUAGCCGGCCUGAGAGGGUGUACGGCCACUUUGGGACUGAGAUACGGCCCAGACUCCUACGGGAGGCAGCAGUGGGGAAUAUUGCACAAUGGGCGCAAGCCUGAUGCAGCGACGCCGCGUGGGGGAUGACGGCCUUCGGGUUGUAAACUCCUUUCGCUAGGGACGAAGCGCAAGUGACGGUACCUGGAGAAGAAGCACCGGCUAACUACGUG
rnacentral:rRNA from 1 species